AGCGGCGGAGCAUGCGGAUAAAUUCGAUGCAACGCGAAGAACCUUACCAAGGCUUGACAUGGACCGGACCGCUGCAGAGAUGCAGCUUCCCUUCGGGGCUGGUUCACAGGUGGUGCAUGGUUGUCGUCAGCUCGUGUCGUGAGAUGUUGGGUUAAGUCCCGCAACGAGCGCAACCCUUGUCCUAUGUUGCCAGCACGUAAUGGUGGGGACUCAUGGGAGACUGCCGGGGUCAACUCGGAGGAAGGUGGGGAUGACGUCAAAUAAUCAUGCCCCUUAUGUCUUGGGCUUCACGCAUGCUACAAUGGCCGGUACAGUGGGUUGCGAUACUGUGAGGUGGAGCUAAUCCCUAAAAGCCGGUCUCAGUUCGGAUCGAAGUCUGCAACUCGACUUCGUGAAGUUGGA
rnacentral:rRNA from 1 species